UUUACAAUUAUUUUUAAAAUAUGUUACAUUCAGCCUACUCGGCGUUAUGGUGGGGUUCCGCACUAGCUCAGGAGGGAGCGGUUAAUCCAGGGGGUUCUCAACCCUGCCACCAUCAACCCUAGGGAAUGAACACUUAAAGAAUUGUACUGGAACAAACACAAACACAGAAAAACUGAAAACAAACAUACACAACAUACACCUAUGACACAGGAGCUUGAUAUUAUUGCUCCCCCACUAUGCCCACCCAUCCUUGACCCUUUAGUCCAAAUACACUCAAAAAAUUUAAAAAGGGCCCCAAAAAGCCACACACACUCACUUACAACGCCUAGUCUCCUCUCUCACAAAUAAAAUUUAGCACAACAUAUUAUUUCUUUAGACAAAUAGACAUUAAGCUUAUUUAUUAGAAUCAUUAUCGUUCUCUUAAAACUAAUUUCAACACGAACACAUAAAAAAAACUGGAUUAUUAAUACCCGAACGAAAAAAAAAUUUGGUGUUUCCGUCAAAGGAAAAGGAACUUCAUAUGACUUUUUUCAGCGGGAUUUGGCUUUUUUUCUUUUCUUUGAUUUUUAGGUGGGAUCUACUGGUUAGCUUCCCGGAUUGGUACUGUUGCCUGUUCCAAGGGUUAUCCACUGGCAGUUUCCCAGGUCUUUUGGCCGUUUCCAGAACCUUUUCGUUGCCUGGAACCCCUGUGCCGCACCUGGCGAUACAAAAAUAAUUGUUGAGGAUGCCCGCUUCUUUUUCGUCCAAGUCGGAUGGCGUUGUCCAAUUGUGGAUUUAUGCGCGGCGUUAUUCCUAAAUAGAACACAAAAACUUAACACAACACAUCCGACAUAACACCACUUACAAAUCAACACUUACAAAUUGUUUAGAUACGCCACACAAAUAAAAAAUAAAACACACAAAUUGUAACUGCCAAUUCAGUAUUUCAUUUUUAUAUUCAC